UACGUAGGGGGCGAGCGUUGUCCGGAGUUACUGGGCGUAAAGCGCACGCAGGCGGUCGCGUAAGAGUGCGGGGACAGUGGGCGGCUUAACUGCCCAAGGGUCGCACAGACUGCGUGACUGGAGGGCCAGAGAGGGACCUGGAAUUCCGGGUGGAGCGGUGAAAUGCGUAGAGAUCCGGAGGAACACCAAAGGCGAAGGCAGUGUCCUGGGGAGUACCUGACGCUCAGGUGCGAAAGCCAGGGGAGCGAACGGG
rnacentral:rRNA from 1 species